GCGGCACCGGCGGGGCGGCGGCGCUGGUGGCGCUGGGCCAAGUCGGGCCCGGCCGAGCCGCGCAGGUGCUGCCGUGCCACCCUGCCCCUGGCUAACCAGCACCAGUUCUUCAGUGGCAAGCUUUAUGUCCUUCUCCAGUAGCUAAAGCUGCCAGUUGAAGAACUGUUGAAUGUAGCCACUCUCUUCUCGUCACUGGGACCUUGGAUGCCAGCCAGAGCCGUGCCCUGAGCCACCAGGAUGAGCCACUCUGCGUUGGAGGCCUGAGGAUGAGCGUGACCGGGAUGAAGAAAGACUCCAGACAGAGCCUUGGCUGGAGGAUUGUAGGCAGCUGUGCCAAAAUGUGUCGUCCCCUCCCUCAGUGGGGUGGCACUGAGCUGGGAGGAGACUGAGAGAAGCAUUAAACAUUAUUUUGCUCA